UUUAAUUUGGCGCGAAAACUACGUAGUACGUCCUAAUAGCCGAACUCUAAGUCGGAAAGGAUUUUGGCAAUUACUUAAAAUAGCAAUUUAAAUAUAUUUGAUAAUGUCUAAUUUAAUGAAUAAGGCAGAUUUACCCAAUCAAAAAGCACAUGAACCUAAAGAAGCAGCAAAACAACCACCACAAGAGCAACCGGAAGUAUUAUCAACUUUUGCCCUGCCUUUAUCUAUAAAAGACAAUAUUCCACACGUUGGUGAUUCAGACGUCAUAGGAAGUAUUCCUGAUCAAAGCAACGGCACAUGCAUGGACGUCCUCAGCCAGCCGACGGGUCUCCCUCAUCGUCAGAGACUUUUGUGGCUUCAAAAGCAUCGAACCGUUGGUUUGUGGGUCCAGUGCGAUGACUGCGAUCGCUGGCGUUAUCUCCCUAAUGUACUCGAUAGCAGUGAAUUACCAAAAAAAUGGUAUUGCCGGUUGCAUCCAGAUUCAACGAGUGCGGAUUGUUCGAUUCCCGAAGCUCCACUCCGCAUCCGUGAAGAGGAAGAUCUUAUUCACGGCGACUACUCCGCCGGCUCGGUAGUAUGGGCGAGAUUAGAUGGCUGGCCGUGGUGGCCCGCAAUGGUUGACGACUGCCCAGAUACAGAGCAGUUCUACUGGCUUGAUGGUUACUCCGAUAUACCUGUACCGAUACUUAAGUAAAUUACGCGUGACCAUCUACUACUACUAAAGAAUUAAAAAGAAAUACCAGUAUGGCAGAUCUCGGCACUGGCUAUUUUUGCCUUGAAAUAAUCAUGCAGUCCAGUUGAAUUAGUCGUCACUAGAAGUUCGCAUACGUUUUAAAACGGACAUUGAUGCCUGAACGGGCCAGAUAUUGAAUUAAUUAUAUUUUACAUUACAUAAAUAAUUUAUUAAUUUUUAUACUUUACUUAAUUACGUUAAUUAACCAGUUAACGUGGCGUGAUUGUUAGUAAAUAUUUAUUUAUAAAAAAAAAAAAAAAAUUAUUUAUUAUUAAUACAUCUUAAUAUAAUAAAACUAUACUAACCAGUGUUCGUAUGUUAACGAUAUAGACUAAAACACAAUUCUUUUUACCUUUUUCUGUCGACUUAAAGAUGUGAUGCACAUGCACAACAUAAAAAAAAAUACUGCGAACGACAACAGUUAAAAAUGAACUUAUUACUGCAAUAUGCCCAAGAUUAAACCUUAAAAAUAAUUAAUGCGUAUCAAUGUGUGUCAAACGAAAACUGACGUUGAGUGUUCGUCUAAGCAAGCUGUAUAUAAUUGUUUUUUUAAUAUUUAAUUUUACAGACACAUUACAACGUUGUUUUCUUCGAUUCGGUAGAUGUGACCCGAGCAUGGGUAGCACCGGAAAAAAUAAAGCCUUUUACUUCCUUAAAAAAGUCGGUUACCUUAUCAAACAAAGAUAAAAAAUUUAAAAAACGUCUCGAUGUCGCUAUCUUUGAAGCGAACGACGCAAUAAAAUUACCAUUACUGGAUCGUUUAGCCAAAUACGGCUUCAUAAAUCGGUACAAAGGCCAGAUUUCAAGUCCAAAAAAAGUUAAUAAAAAAGAUUUAGUUCGCUAUCAGAAAAAAAUGAAAAGGAAAUUUAACAUUGAAUUUCCAAUUGAAAGUUCUGACUCAGACGAAGAAGCGAGAUCUAGUACUAAUUUAGCCGGCAAUAUCAUUUCGCUGGGAAGUCUUAAAAAAGCAAAUUCUGUUAAAAAACGUGUCAGUGACGAAGAUAAUGUAAAAGAAUCUAAUUGUGUGGAUCUCGUUAAGAAAAAUAUUAAAAUACGUAAGCCAGACAGUACUGUAACAGGGGAUCCCAACCAAAACUCAAUGGCGGUCCAGAUAGGAAGCACAGAUUCAAUGGCAGUUACGAUGUCUUUUGAUAAUGAUACUUCAAAGACGUACGUGCCUGAAAUUCAGACGGAAACCAGCGAAGAACAAGAUAGUACUCCUCAUAAUCUCAAUAAUUUUAGGAUUUCAUCUCAAAGUAGUGAUGAUUUUGAUUUUUGAAUAACUUUCUAAGCUUGCUGUAAACAAUCUUACAUGUUUUACUCAUUUCCUUAGACUCUUUAAAUCUACUGUUAAUAAACAAUGUAAUACGA